CAGCGCCACGAGUGGUAACCACGUUUAUUGGGCCUAAAGCGUCCGUAGCCGGUUUGAUAAAUCUUUUGUGAAAUUGUACAGCUUAACUGUACAGCGUGCAAGAGACACUGUCAAACUUGAGACCGGGAGGAGUCAGAAGUAUUCCAGAGGGAGCGGUAAAAUGUUAUAAUCUCUGGAGGACUACCUGUGGCGAAGGCGUCUGACCAGGACGGAUCUGACGGUGAGGGACGAAAGCUAGGGGAGCGAACCGGAUUAGAGACCCGAGUAGUCC
rnacentral:rRNA from 1 species